rnacentral:rRNA from 1 species
GACGAACGCUGGCGGCGUGCCUAAUACAUGCAAGUCGAACGAGAGCGACCGGUGCUUGCACUGGUCAAUCUAGUGGCGAACGGGUGAGUAACACGUGGGUAACCUGCCCAUCAGAGGGGGAUAACAUCCGGAAACGGAUGCUAAAACCGCAUAGGUCUUCGAGCCGCAUGGCUUGAAGAGGAAAAGAGGCGCAAGCUUCUGCUGAUGGAUGGACCCGCGGUGCAUUAGCUAGUUGGUGAGGUAACGGCUCACCAAGGCCGUGAUGCAUAGCCGACCUGAGAGGGUGAUCGGCCACAUUGGGACUGAGACACGGCCCAAACUCCUACGGGAGGCAGCAGUAGGGAAUCUUCCGCAAUGGACGCAAGUCUGACGGAGCAACGCCGCGUGAGUGAAGAAGGGUUUCGGAUCGUAAAACUCUGUUGUUAGAGAAGAACAAGUGCUAGAGUAACUGUUAGCGCCUUGACGGUAUCUAACCAGAAAGCCACGGCUAACUACGUG